GAACCACUUUUAACGGCCGCGGUAUCCUAACCGUGCAAAGGUAGCAUAAUCACUUGUCCCCUAAAUAGGGACUAGCAUGAACGGCCAAACGAGGGCCCAACUGUCUCCUAUAGCCAACCAAUAAACCUGAUCUCUCAGUACAAAAGCUGAGAUAAACACAUCAGACGAGAAGACCCUGUGGAGCUUAAAGUCAAAGUGUCAACACCAAAACCACCAUUGAUGCACACUUUUAGUUGGGGCGACUAUGGAGUAAAACAAAACCUCCACGAUUAUACCACAGCGUAGCCUAAGACCCACACGUCAAACCAUAAACACUACGACCCAGUCAAACUGAUCAACGAACCAAGUUACCCCAGGGAUAACAGCGCCAUCCUCCCCAAGAGCCCAUAUCGCCAGGAGGGCUUACGACCUCGAUGUUGGAUCAGGACACCCAGGUGGUGCAGCCGCUACCAAAGG
rnacentral:rRNA from 1 species